AGUAGUUUGAUCCUGGCUCAGGAUGAACGCUAGCUACAGGCUUAACACAUGCAAGUCGAGGGGCAGCAUGGUCUUAGCUUGCUAAGGCUGAUGGCGACCGGCGCACGGGUGAGUAACGCGUAUCCAACCUUCCCUAUAGGUAGGGGAUAGCCCGUAGAAAUGCGGAUUAAUACCCUAUGUUGUAUUUUGAUGACAUCUGACGAAUACCUAAAGGUUUACCGCUAUAGGAUGGGGAUGCGUCUGGUGUGAAAAACUCCGGUGGUGAAAGAUGGACCCGCGUCUGAUUAGCCAGUUGGCAGGGUAACGGCCUACCAAAGCGACGAUCAGUAGCCGGCCUGAGAGGGUGAACGGCCACAUUGGGACUGAGACACGGCCCAAACUCC
rnacentral:rRNA from 1 species